rnacentral:rRNA from 1 species
GGGUGAGUAAUGCAUCGGAACGUGCCAUUGAGUGGGGGAUAACGUAGCGAAAGUUGCGCUAAUACCGCAUAUUCUGUGAGCAGGAAAGCAGGGGACCGCAAGGCCUUGCGCUCUUUGAGCGGCCGAUGUCAGAUUAGCUAGUUGGUGAGGUAAAGGCUUACCAAGGCGACGAUCUGUAGCGGGUCUGAGAGGAUGAUCCGCCACACUGGAACUGAGACACGGUCCAGACUCCUACGGGAGGCAGCAGUGGGGAAUUUUGGACAAUGGGGGCAACCCUGAUCCAGCCAUGCCGCGUGAGUGAAGAAGGCCUUCGGGUUGUAAAGCUCUUUCGGCCGGGAAGAAAUCGCAUGGGCCAAUACCCUGUGUGGGUGACGGUACCGGAAUAAGAAGCACCGGCUAACUACGUGCCAGCAGCCGCGGUAAUACGUAGGGUGCGAGCGUUAAUCGGAAUUACUGGGCGUAAAGCGUGCGCAGGCGGUUUUGUAAGACAGGCGUGAAAUCCCCGGGCUUAACCUGGGAACUGCGUUUGUGACUGCAAGGCUAGAGUACGGCAGAGGGGGGUGGAAUUCCACGUGUAGCAGUGAAAUGCGUAGAGAUGUGGAGGAACACCAAUGGCGAAGGCAGCCCCCUGGGUCGAUACUGACGCUCAUGCACGAAAGCGUGGGUAGCAAACAGGAUUAGAUACCCUGGUAGUCCACGCCCUAAACUAUGUCAACUAGGUGUUGGGUGGGUAAAACCAUUUAGUACCGUAGCUAACGCGUGAAGUUGACCGCCUGGGGAGUACGGCCGCAAGGUUAAAACUCAAAGGAAUUGACGGGGACCCGCACAAGCGGUGGAUGAUGUGGAUUAAUUCGAUGCAACGCGAAAAACCUUACCUACCCUUGACAUGCCAGGAACUUGCCAGAGAUGGCUUGGUGCCCGAAAGGGAGCCUGGUCACAGGUGCUGCAUGGCUGUCGUCAGCUCGUGUCGUGAGAUGUUGGGUUAAGUCCCGCAACGAGCGCAACCCUUGUCGUUAAUUGCCAUCAUUUAGUUGGGCACUUUAACGAGACUGCCGGUGACAAACCGGAGGAAGGUGGGGAUGACGUCAAGUCCUCAUGGCCCUUAUGGGUAGGGCUUCACACGUCAUACAAUGGUCGGUACAAAGGGUUGCCAAGCCGCGAGGCGGAGCCAAUCCCAGAAAGCCGAUCGUAGUCCGGAUUGCAGGCUGCAACUCGCCUGCAUGAAGUCGGAAUCGCUAGUAAUCGUGGAUCAGCAUGUCACGGUGAAUACGUUCCCGGGUCUUGUACACACCGCCCGUCACACCAUGGGAGCGGGUUCCGCCAGAAGUAGGUAGCCUAACCGCAAGU